UUCACUUACAGCUUAAGUAUUUCAGUAAAUGGACUUUUAUGAGUUUUGCUAAGAUCUGUGUGGGUCAUUGGCUUGGAAGAAAAGGAUAGGACUUCUAGAUGAAUAAAGAUAUGGUGUAUUUUCCAGGACUAAAUCAUCUUUGUGCUGUGAUCAAGCAUGAGAAAUUUCCACCCUGAGGAAAAAUAUUUGAAGGUUGCAAAAUGAAUAUGGACUUCUUCACGAGAUGGGGGUGGAAACAGCCAUCUGCAUCUCUGUCCUCAAACACUCUCACCUCUGAAGCUAGAGAAAGGGGACUACCUCUGCUGUUGAAAAAAAUCCUUUCAAAAGAUUCUGCCUUUCAAAAAAGGGCCAAUUUGGGGUACUUGCCAACAUGAACCACUAUGGCUGGGCGAAUAAAAUAUCAUUUUUGACCCAGCUCGGGUCUCUGCUCUGUCUCCAAUGCCUUGUAAUGGACAAUUCUCAACAAGUAUUUAUGGAAUUAAUAUCCCAAAGACAACUUUAUUAAAAUAGGAACAUUGAAAAAAAGCCAAAGUACUUAAAAAAACCUGUGUCUGUUAUCUGCGAUUAUGACUGUAAUUUUACAACAUGAUGUAUGUGUUCUCUGCAGUUACAAUAUUUUAAAACGUAAUUCUGACAAGGUUAUUUCUACAUAAUCAUCAAAUCCACCAUUUAAUCAACCUGUUGUUUGUUAUUUAAGAUUAAUUAAAAGGCAGAUGACUGCAUGCCCAGUUUACUGAGUGUGUGACAAAGUCAGCUCCUCAACUGGCUUAAAGCACUGAAUAAACUUUUUUUUUGGAAAUUAACAGUUUAAAAUCUUUAAUCUAUCCUUCCUUCCUUCCAGAAACACUCACUGAACAUAUACUAAGUGUGAGGCCCUGGUCCAGGUGCUAGAAAUAGAGCUGUUUAUAAGACAAUCCUUGUUAUCCUUGAGCUUAUAUUAUAAUUAGAGGAGUCAAUAAAUACAAAAAUAUGCAAAUCAAUAUCAGAUAUUGAAAAGAGUUAUUAAGAAAGUACAGAUACUAGAAUAAAGCAAGAGAGUAACGGCGUACAAGGAGCUGAUAUCUUAGGCGUGGUGCCCAGGUCAGCUAGUUCUCUUUGAGUGCUGUUUGAGCAAGACCUAAAUGAGGGAGAGAGACAUGCAAGUAACUCAGGGCAGAGAGAUUACUGUACAAGGACCCUAAGGAAAGGAUCCAGGGCUCGGAAAACUGCCAGAUAUCUACUGAGGAUUGAGGAGGCCUGAGAGUGGUAGGAGAUGGGGUUGGGUCAUGUAAGGCUUUAUAGACUAUGUAGGAAGUAAAACAAUCUGAUUUUUGUUUUAAAUCUUCUCUAUGACUGUUAGCUAUCUAUUGUGUUGAGACUAUUUUGUUAGGAGAGCGGGUCUGCAGAGGGAAGUGGAGGGACUCCAACAAUUGUAAUUAUUAAUAUAUUAAUUUUUGCCUAGCCUCUAUUUUGCUAGCAAAUUUUAUUCGGUGACUUCAAAUAAAAUAAAUUCUCUGCAAGAAAUUUAAACUUCAUUGCAUCAAGCUAAUUCUAUGAUUUAGUUGGGGGAACCACUAAGCAUUGGGAAUAAAAGUACAGAACACACUUAAGCAGCUUCCAGUUAGAUAGGGAAGACUGACAAAUAAACAAAAUGAUUAAUAGAUUGGGACGCUAUGGUAAGACAGAAGGACCCCCUAAACCAGGCCUUAAAAAGGUGGGAGGGUCUAACAAGGCUUAUUGAAAGAUAACUUUUAAGUCAAAAAUUGGUGGAGAGAAAAACAUGUACAAAGACUGGAGGCAAAGUUGUAGGGGAAGUGUCUUAAAUUCAGGAAAGGAAGUCAGCAUGGCUGAGACAAAGGGCAGAGACGUUUUGGUUUGUGUGUUUGCUCAUUGGGAUUUGGAGUCGAGAGGUAGAGUUAGGGAGGUUGGGGAAGGUAAGGAGCAAAGAUAAGCAUAAGUCAGUGAGAGAGACAUGAAGAAAGAAUUACUGAUACCUGUUCAACUUCAACAUUUGGGCAAUGCCAUCAGGCAGGUUACUAUGAAAAAUGACUGAACAGAGUAAGAUGAAAAAAUACUGAGUCCUCAAAAACCCACCAUCACUCUCUGUGCCUACCAGUGAAGUAUGUUCAGUCCAUCCUGAAGGAGGAGGGUGAACAUAAAAGAGAAAUCAUGGGGCAAAUCAAUGACAUCCAAAAUCAUAUGAACUUUCCAAGAACAGAUUCACAGCCGAAGUUAACACAAGUGAAGGCUUAAAGUUAUAUUGUAUUCAAUAAAAACAGGUAGCAUUAUUUAAUUUAUAAAGAAGCAUUUUGAAUGAACUUUAGUGUGGUUCAUCAUUUUUUACACUUAUUUUAUAAUGACUGAAUAAAUGCUUUUAUUUUAAAGAAAAGUACCUUGUAGUCUUACUAAUGACUUUGGAUAUCAUCUUUGGAGCAAUGGAAAGCCCUGAGGGGCUUUAAACAAAUAAAUGGAUCAUAUUCGUAUUUCAGAGACAUUUCUUCUAUCUUUGUCACUGCAGUAUUAAGAAUCACUCAGAGCAAUUCAAGAUUGCGUGUAAAGGCUAGAUAUAGGCUCAGUAGUAAAAUAUACACCGAAGAGAUAUUUAAAAGCCAUUAUUGAAUGGAACUGGAUGGUUAGGGGUAGAGUCAAGAGGAACUGAGGACAACACUCAGUUUCUGGCAUUAAUUUAGGUUCUACCAAUUUAGACUCUGAAAAUUUCAUCAGGAGCCAGACUUAAACUGACUUCUCAUAGGUUUUUAAAAAUAUUUCUCAAUGCAAAUUAAUCGUGCCAACAAAAUGGGGCAGAGAAAUUUUAAAAAGAAGUGCUACUUACGUGCAAAAAACUGUUAUAGGUAUAUACUUUAAUAAUAAACCUAAUGAAAGAACCCAUUAAUGUAGCUUUUAAAUGCUUAUUAACACAAUUACACUGAAAUGGUCAUUUAAACUGUUUAUACAUUUACAUCUGCCUUCUAUGUUUUUCUGGGUUAGUAAGGCCUCAUUGUAUGUUUCAUUCUAUUAUCAUUCAUAAAAGUAUAUGUGCAGAUACUAUUCUAAGGGGUACUGAUGACUGCAAAUUGGGUAGAUUUAGCAUGUUAUUCUUAAAUAGGUAUUGAUUAAUGAGCAACAAGAAAUUACCACUAGAUAUUCAGUUCUUAGGUGAGUUAGCAUUGUUUAGUGGACCCAUUCAAAACUGGCCUAUUGACUUUAUAUCUAGAGAGAUAUGAACGUAUAGUAUUAAAGACUGAUUUCUUUUAAAUACAUGACUUUUCAUAAUCUAAGUCAUGGUGUACCAUACGUACAAAUUAGUUAGAUUGGCCCCCAUGGGGUCAUAAGAAUUACAUGAAUUAAUAUAAUUUCAAUUAUUAAAGGAUUGAAAUUCUAAAGCCCUAAUAAAAUACUACACUGUUGUAAACAUUGGAAUGGUGAUUUUCACUCUUAUUAUUACUUCAGACAUUCAGAUAUGAUUUUUUUUCUAUGCCCUUUGCCCUUGUCAGGCUUACAUUUGAAAUUUUAAAAAGAAAAGUUAAUCUUUCAGUUGCCUAUCAUUAAAUAGUUCUCUAAAGAAAUAAUAUCCCGAGGAAUAUAGAUGCAUCAAAUCUUGCACUGAAAGGAAUCUAAGGCAACAUUCUCUUACUUCAUGACUUUUCCUUGAUGAACCCAUGUUUGGAUAAUGAGUUUAAUGGUGUUUAACUUAAAUUAUCUCCACAUAAAAAUUUAAUAAACUUCUCUUUCUAAGUUUCAAUAAACCUUUUUAAAGAAAAUAUAGAGCCCAGAAUAUCUUAACAAUUCAUUGAUAUUGUUCAUUUUUAUCUUACGCAAACUGUAGGACCAGUUACAGCAAUAAUUCCAGAUUCUUUUAGAUAAACAUCAGAUUCUAAUUACUGUAAACUGAAACACAUCUAAGAAAACAAUGUGUUUAAUUUAUGAAAUUAAAAAAAACCCUACAUCUGUUCUUGUGAGACACAUCAUUGCUUUGACGUCAGUGACCUAACCACAUGCACGAUUUUUUCUUGAAUUAAAAAAAAAUAAAGCACCCUGACGGUAGGUUUUAGGAUCUUCAAAGUACUAGCCAUUCCCAGGAAACAGUUCUAUCAUUUUUUAAGUACUACAAGUGUGUUAUUCACAAGGAAAAAGAUGAAUGAUUAUCAAGUGAGUAGCCAUUAUCAAACAGUUUUUUUUAGGUUUAUACAGCCUCUUACACUGUGUUAUAAAAAUAAAGCAUGAAAAUCCUGUGUGCUUUUAAAAUGAAUAAAUUAAGUUGUGAAAAUUUCAACUGGUUUUCUAUUUAGAGAAUCAUCACACAACAGUGUUACAAUAAAACAAUAUAUAAUAUAUCAAAAAAACCAAAACCCACUAAUUUGGAAAUAUACAUG